ensembl:misc_RNA Metazoa_SRP Metazoan signal recognition particle RNA
GCUGGGUGUGGUGGUGUGCGCCUGUAAUCCUAGCUACUCAGGAGGCUGAGGCAGGAGAAAUGCUUGAACCCAGGAGGUGGAGGUUGCAGUGAACUGAGAUCACGCCACUGUACUCCCACCUGGGUGACAGAGCAAGACUCUGUCUCAA